rnacentral:rRNA from 1 species
ACACAUGCAAGUCGAACGAUGAAGAUUAUUAGACUUCUUCGGAAUGAAAAUAAUUGGAUUAGUGGCGGACGGGUGAGUAACGCGUGAGUAACCUGCCUUACACAAGGGGAUAGCCGUUGGAAACGACGAAUAAUACCCUAUGAAACUAUCACUUCGCAUGAAGCGAUAGUCAAAGUGUUAGCGGUGUAAGAUGGACUUGCGUCUGAUUAGCUAGUUGGUGAGAAAAAAGCCCACCAAGGCAACGAUCAGUAGCCGGCUUGAGAGAGUGUACGGCCACAUUGGGACUGAGACACGGCCCAGACUCCUACGGGAGGCAGCAGUGGGGAAUUUUGCACAAUGGGGGAAACCCUGAUGCAGCGACGCCGCGUGAUUUAGAAGGCCUUCGGGUUGUAAAAAUCUUUUGUAUAGGAAGAAAAUGACAGUACUAUACGAAUAAGGUCCGGCUAAUUACGUGCCAGCAGCCGCGGUAAUACGUAAGGACCGAGCGUUGUCCGGAAUCAUUGGGCGUAAAGGGUACGUAGGCGGGUCAUUAAGUUAGAAGUCAAAGGCUAUAGCUCAACUAUAGUAAGCUUCUAAAACUGGAGACCUUGAGUAAUGGAAGGGAAAGUGGAAUUCCUAGUGUAGCGGUGGAAUGCGCAGAUAUUAGGAGGAAUACCGGUGGCGAAGGCGACUUUCUGGCCAUUAACUGGCGCUGAGGUACGAAAGCGUGGGUAGCAAACAGGAUUAGAUACCCUGGUAGUCCACGCCGUAAACGAUGAGUGUUAGGUGUCUGGAGUAAAUCUGGGUGCCGCAGCUAACGCAUUAAACACUCCGCCUGGGGAGUACGCACGCAAGUGUGAAACUCAAAGGAAUUGACGGGGACCCGCACAAGCAGCGGAGCAUGUGG